UUUAUGGAGAGUUUGAUCCUGGCUCAGGACGAACGCUGGCGGCGUGCCUAAUACAUGCAAGUCGAGCGAGGCCUUUGGGCCUAGCGGCGGACGGGUGAGUAACACGUGGGUAACCUGCCUGUAAGACUGGGAUAACUUCGGGAAACCGAAGCUAAUACCGGAUAACAUUUUUGGUUGCAUGACCGAAAAUUGAAAGGUGGCUUUUAGCUAUCACUUACAGAUGGACCCGCGGCGCAUUAGCUAGUUGGUGAGGUAACGGCUCACCAAGGCAACGAUGCGUAGCCGACCUGAGAGGGUGAUCGGCCACACUGGGACUGAG
rnacentral:ncRNA from 1 species